UUAUAUUUAAUACACUAUAACAGAAUUAGGUUAUAGAGACAUAUUGUUAAGACAUUUUUAUAUAAGUGUCUCAUUUAUACCUUUUUUUUUAAAUAUCUAUUAAGGCUUAAAUAUAAAGUCUAAUCCAACCAAAAUAAAAAGUUACCGUACUCAACCAAUCCAAUCCAGCCUACUCGACCCGAUUACAAAAAAAAAAAAAAAAAAAAAUGAUCAUCAUCUCCUCUUCUCCUCCACCGGCAUCGUAAUCAAUGAGAUAGGGUCCCGGCGAUUAAAGUUCGGUCGUGAGAAUUUCACAAAAAUUGUAGAGGGCUACGAUCAUCAUGUUUUCCUCCGCCAUAAGUCGCUAGAGGAAUGGGUGCCAAACAUCGAGACGGCUCCACAUAUAGCAACAUUUUUUUAAAAAGUGUGGGUAAUUUAGUCGACGGCACUUUUUUUCAUUUAUACCGACAUUUAAAAGUGUCGCUAUAUAUCGUUUUUAUUAUUGUUAUAAUGCUUCUGCAGAACCCUCUCUCAAUUUUUUUUUUUUUUUGUUUUACUAAAUAUUUUAUAUAGAGUUACCAUAUCACAGCUUAAACACAAUUGUCAAAGCAAAGUGGUAUCAGCUUAAAACUAUGGUCGUGCUUUUAAUUAGCCUUACAAAAUUGAAAAAAAGCAAAUUGAUGGACACACGCAAUUGCUAAAAUAUAGAGACUUUGAAAGUUAUAGGAAGCUUCAUGGAAACUCAUUAUCCAUGUUAAUUUUCGAAAAGUCAAUUUAUUUAGGGCAAUAUCUCCUAGUUUGAAUUUGGCCAAGUAUCCCCAUUACAAAAUUAUUUAUCGCAUAUUUUUAGAUAACACAAGAUGUAUUUUUCCAAUACAAAGGCAUUGUUCAUCUAGGGGUGUUUAUUGCUGGACAAAAAUUAUAUAAGGGAGGUUAAUGCUAUGGCUUUGUGUUUAAGCAAUCGAGAAUCGACAUUGUUAAAUUUGAUCUAUGUUAUAUGAACUACUUAAGAUUCUAAAUUUCGUGAUUUUACCAUAUUGUCUCUAAAAUGACAAUUUUUAAUGGUUAAUAUAAAAUUAAUUUAAGAUUUUUUGAUUACUAAAUAAAUGAUAUCGAAAAAUUAUAAAUUUAAUUUUCAUAAUAUUUAAAUAGUCGAGAACAUAUUUAAUAAUGUAGAUCGUCGAUUUGGAUAUAAAUCCAUUGUUAGGUCAUUUGAUUGGAACUUUGAGCACCUAACCACCACAGCUAUGGGUCGUUGGUGUUGAAUAUAAAUCAUGUAAACACUGUUCUUCGAAGCUUAACCUUUUGUAGA
rnacentral:lncRNA from 1 species